rnacentral:rRNA from 1 species
UCGAGAAUAAUUCACAAUGGGGGCAACCCUGAUGGUGCAACGCCGCGUGGAGGAUGACGGUCUUCGGAUUGUAAACUCCUGUCAUCCGGGAGUAAGACCUGGCGGUUAACAGCCGACAGGGUUGAUAGUACCGGAAGAGGAAGGGACGGCUAACUUCGUGCCAGCAGCCGCGGUAAUACGAAGGUCCCGAGCGUUGUUCGGAAUCACUGGGCGUAAAGGGAGCGUAGGCUGCGCGGUAAGUCAGAUGUGAAAUCCCGGGGCUCAACCCCGGAACUGCAUCCGAUACUGCCGUGCUAGAGGAUUGGAGAGGUAGCUGGAAUUCUUGGUGUAGCAGUGAAAUGCGUGGAUAUCAAGAGGAACACUCGUGGCGAAAGCGAGCUACUGGACAACUCCUGACGCUGAGGCUCGAAGGCCAGGGUAGCGAAAGGG